AUUGAACGCUGGCGGCAUGCUUUACACAUGCAAGUCGAACGGCAGCACGGGGGCAACCCUGGUGGCGAGUGGCGAACGGGUGAGUAAUGCAUCGGAACGUAUCUUCAAGUGGGGGAUAACGCAUCGAAAGAUGCGCUAAUACCGCAUAAUCUCUGAGGAGAAAAGCAGGGGAUCGCAAGACCUUGCGCUUCUGGAGCGGCCGAUGCUGAUUAGCUAGUUGGUGGGGUAAAGGCUUACCAAGGCUUCGAUCAGUAGCUGGUCUGAGAGGACGACCAGCCACACUGGGACUGAGACACGGCCCAGACUCCUACGGGAGGCAGCAGUGGGGAAUUUUGGACAAUGGGGAAACCCUGAUCCAGCCAUGCCGCGUGAGUGAAGAAGG
rnacentral:rRNA from 1 species